rnacentral:rRNA from 1 species
CCUACGGGAGGCAGCAGUAGGGAAUAUUGCUCAAUGGGGGAAACCCUGAAGCAGCAACGCCGCGUGGAGGAUGAAUGUUUUCGGAUUGUAAACUCCUUUUGUUAGAGAAGAUAAUGACGGUAUCUAACGAAUAAGCACCGGCUAACUCCGUGCCAGCAUCCGCGGUAAUACGGCGGGUGCAAGCGUUACUCGGAAUCACUGGGCGUAAAGAGCGCGUAGGCGGGAUAGCAAGUCAGAUGUGAAAUCCUAUGGCUUAACCAUAGAACUGCAUUUGAAACUGUUAUUCUAGAGUAUGGGAGAGGUAGGUGGAAUGCGUGGUGUAGGGGUAAAAUGCGUAGAGAUCAAGAGGAAUACUCAUUGCGAAGGCGACCUGCUAGAACAUAACUGACGCUGAUGCGCGAAAGCGUGGGGAGCAAACAGGAUUAGAUACCCUGGUAGUC